rnacentral:lncRNA from 1 species
UUUCUUUUCCAAUUUAUUCUCAUUUUAUAUAAGGCAUUGUUAUUUUUGGCUUUUCAUUGGUCUGGUUAUUUAAUUGAAUUAAUUAGGAUAUAUGUUUGGGUAUUAUUAUUAUUUUCUUAUUACUAGAUUGUUAGAUAAAUAUUUUAAAUAAAAAGUAAAUUGAUAUUAGAAUAAAUUAUAAAAUUGUUGGCCUUUAUUAAUUUAACUAAUC